UGGACAAUGUCAAGGUUGUGGCAGUGCUU
rnacentral:piRNA from 1 species